rnacentral:lncRNA from 1 species
GCGAUUUUGAGGGUGAAAGUUGUGACAUGAAAACAUGUCAUUUUCAUGAACUUAUUUCUGGAAAAAAGUUCAUCAUAAUGCAAUGUUUCCUACUUAAAACAUGUCACCUUUAGUACCCCUACUAUGUCUGAGAAGCUCAAGUGAAAUGUGCAAAAAAUCGGCAAGCUAUUUCAUAUUGAAAAAACACAAUACCUACGUUACCAACGAUGUCCUAGGCACUUUUUUCGUAACGGCGGUAAUUCUAGCAUUUUACACAAAUUUAGCAGGAUAUUUUCUCAGAAAGUUUCAUCUUAUUAGGAAGGUACAACCCCUCAUGAACAUAUGUAGAAAGAAUGAUGAUUAAAUCGGUCGGUAAAUAUAAGAAAACAAUUAAUUUACCGCGAAAAUCGGGCGCGAUGUCCUUCGUAAUUUGGUAACGUAGGUGUGAAAUUACGGUGUUUGAGAUAUAAACCAGCCCGCUAGCUUCAGUUUUCGGUGUUAAAAUGACCUGCUAGUUAUUCACGAAUGCGCAGAACAUGUUUUUUGCCGGACUGCGACGACCUACCCCUACAGUGCAACCACAAACGUGAAGAUGUCUUUGUAACGUGGUGCAGCCAUUUUCGCCCGUCAGCGCCCAAAUUGAUUGCUGCAUCCAUUUCAUUCAUGGCUCCUAUAACUCCCUUGAGGAUUCAGCUCCGGCAGAGAGAGAUCAAGAGAGCAGGCAAAAUGACCAGUCAUCGAAACCUUCUUGGAAAACAAAGAUCUUUCCAUCUAAUCACUAUUUUGAAGAAGAUAUAAAGUUGAUCAUUGAUAUCUAUCAAUAUACCUCUUGUAUGAAUACUGUUUUUUAAUUUACUGAUCAAGGGAUAAAAUAUAUUUCAGAUGACAUUUGAUGUAGUCUGUCAUUUUUCAAUGAGUAUAAGAGGAUAGUUACUCUAAUAUCAUACUGAUGUUACUCGGACAUGAUGUCCGUGUAACAUAGGUAACUGGAGGUGUUGAGGUGAAUAUAGACCAUAAAUCUUGCAGGUUUCCUUUCAAUUGUGUUAUCAUCUCAUUAAAUAUGUUUCAUGCAUCAAUUAAUUGGCACAUUUCAUGGAAUGUAGCCAAGAUUUUCUAUGCAAGAGAAAAGAUUACCCUUUAGAAAAAAACAUGAUCUGAAGAUUGCUAGUUCCUCAUUUGUUUCAUGUUUAUAAAUUGAUAUAAUGUUGCUGUGUUCAAGUUUUAAGUAUUCUAAACUAUUGCUCCCAUCAUCUAAAUGUUUUCCACACACAAAAAAGUGGAGUACAGACUGUGACAAAGUUUCAGAUCAGAAAAUAAAUGAGCAAGUAAAAAAA